CAAGGAAUAGUUUAAUUAAAAUUUUAGUUUUGGAGAUUAAAGAUGAGGACUUCCUUUUCCUUGA
rnacentral:tRNA from 1 species